ensembl:lncRNA
AGGAACUUGCCGUUGUGGACCUAGUGAGGGCAGACAAUGCUAUGCGUCUCCACCAGCUACGAAAGCAAAUACUUGCAGACAGGCAAGUGUUCAACAACAUAAACCAUGUGAGCAUCACCACCAUCAGAUGCAUCUUGGGAAAACACAGCAUCACCAUGAAGCAGCUCUACAGAGUCCCAUUUGAGAGGAACAGUGACAGGGUCAAAGGACUUCGAGCUGAAUAUGUACGGAGAAUCUUGGCCAUGGAUGGAGCUGCACAGCCUCAUGAAUUCAUUUUCAUUGAUGAAGCUGGAUUCGACCUGUGCAAAACAAGACGACGGGGUCGUAAUGUAAUUGGCCAAAGGGCAGUUGUGCACGUUCCAGGGCAGCGCAGGGGAAACAUCACAUUAUGUGCCGCCAUAAGCCUUCGAGGGCUUCUGCAUCAUCAUGCAAAACUAGGUCCAUACAAUAGGCAACAUAUACUCACAUUUCUAGAUGCUCUCCAUGAUAUAGUUGUACAGAACAGACCAGAUCAGCCCAGGUUUGUGGUGAUAUGGGAUAAUGUCAGUUUCCAUCGGGCUGCUCUGGUCCAGGCCUGGUUCUCCAACCACAGUCAACUUGAAGUGGUAUGCUUGCCCCCUUACUCACCAUUUUUAAACCCUAUAGAGGAAUUUUUUAGGCUUGGAGAUGGCGUGUAUAUGACCGCCAACUACAUGCCUGCAUGCCUCUUCUGCAGGCAAUGGAACAGGCCUGCGGCGACAUUCAGGUGACAGCAAUCCAUGGAUGGAUUUGACAUGGAAGAGGAUAUUUUCCCCAGUGCCUAGCGGGAGAAGACAUUGCUUGCGAUGUUGAUGAGGUUCUGUGGCCAGACCCCAACAGACGGCGGGAUCCAUGAGCCCACGUAUGCACAAUUGUCAUGAUUUUUUGUUUACAGUAUAGUGUUUUUUCUAUUACUGUAUUAUGGGUUUUUUGUUUUUGUUUUGUUUUUUUGCUUUAUCUGAAUUCAUGGUACUGCAAUGUACAAUAUUGAGUAGGUCUAUUUGCUUUUUUGGUUGUUUGCAAAUGUGUCUCCUGAAAAUAUGCCUUCUGAAUGAACAAUGGAAAUCAAAGACUGCAGUGUUUUAUAUAAAGUAGACUAGUGUGUUCCCCCUGCUCUGUAAGUGUUUGCAUAUGAUGCAAGUAUGUGUCAUUUUGUCAACAGAGUUACAUUUUGACAGAGGAAUGUUAGGUUUUGAUAGCAGAGUUUAGGUUUUGAGAGUAGAGUUUCAAUUUGGUGCAGAUGUGAAUGGUAUAUUUCCCAGUGUUGUGUCAUGUGUACUUGUGUUUAGGGUUUUGGCACAAUGAGCAAAGUUUUGCAAAAUGUGUUCAGGCAACGGGCAAAAACUGUAAUAUGUUCUAAUUAAUAUUUUUGACUCCUAAACUCUCCAGACG